CAGAACUCCACUGGUAUGUUGCAGAAGGUC
rnacentral:piRNA from 1 species